CUAACCCAGUGCCCCUUCUCCACCCAGUGUCGAUUACCAAUCCUGAUGCUGUACCUGCUAUGGACAGUCCCCUCUCCAGUGCCGGUUGAAUCCUUUCCUACCUGCAGCACUCAGCAGCAACCGCUCACCUGUGCCUGGGGAGGGGUGGUGGGCGCCCCCAGGAGACUAAAGCCAUGAAGGCUACUGCCACGCUGAGCGAUCAAUAGUUGCCACCGCAGAUGACCAACCCUCCAAGAGAGCGCAAAGUCUGGGCCCUUCUUUGGACAGCUGUUCUGUUCCCACCCUUCUGCAUAGCCACCACUAUGUGAGCCAUUUUGCUCUUGCUUGUGCUCCCCACCAUGAUGUUUUGCCUAGCUACAAGCCAUAAGAGAUGGAGCCAUGUGACCAUGGACUGACAGAUAAGUAUUACUGU